rfam:Oryza sativa (indica cultivar-group) chromosome 8, whole genome shotgun sequence.
AAUAAGUACAGUUUUACACUAUUCACGUUCAACGUUUGACCGUUCGUUUUAUUUGAAAUUUUUUUAUAAUUAGUAUUUUUAUUACUAAUAGAUGAUAAAACAUGGAUAGUUUUGACUAAAUAUUUUUUAAUUUUUCACAAAUUUUUUAAAUAAGACGGACAGUCAAACGUUAGGCACGGAUAUCCACGGCUGCACUUAUU